CAAUGGGCGAAAGCCUGAUGCAGCGACGCCGCGUGAGCGAUGAAGGCCUUCGGGUCGUAAAGCUCUGUCCUAAGGGAAGAUAAUGACGGUACCUUAGGAGGAAGCCCCGGCUAACUACGUGCCAGCAGCCGCGGUAAUACGUAGGGGGCGAGCGUUAUCCGGAAUUAUUGGGCGUAAAGGGUGCGUAGGCGGCCUUGUGUGUCAGGUGUGAAAGGCUACGGCUCAACCGUAGUUAGCACUUGAAACUGCAGGGCUUGAGUGCAGGAGAGGAGAGUGGAAUUCCUAGUGUAGCGGUGAAAUGCGUAGAUAUUAGGAGGAACACCAGUGGCGAAGGCGACUCUCUGGACUGUAACUGACGCUGAGGCACGAAAGCGUGGGGAGCGAACAGGAUUAGAUACCCUGGUAGUCCACGCCGUAAACGAUGAGUACUAGGUGUUGGGGUCGACAGGCUUCAGUGCGCGCAGUUAACACAUUAAGUACUCCGCCUGGGGAGUACG
rnacentral:rRNA from 1 species